GAGACAAAGAGGCUGUACAACAAGCUGCGCUCGGUCGGCAUUAAGCCGGUUUUCCUCACCGGACGGACCGAGGACCAGAGGGCCAUCACCAUCACCAACCUCCGCCGCCAGGGGAUCUCCGGGUGGAUGAACUUGCUGCUGAAGCAGCCCGGCUUCAAGGGCUCUGCUGUGACCUACAAGUCCGGCGAGAGGCAAAAAUUGCAGGACGCCGGGUACAUCAUAGUCGGCAACAUCGGCGAUCAGUGGAGCGACAUCCUCGGCGCGCCCGAGGGCGCCCGUACCUUCAAGCUCCCCGACCCCAUGUACUACAUUGGCUAGGCCGGGCCGGUUGCUGCCACCUUUGAUUGCUCCUCGGUCCUGAUCCACGAUUGAAUAAACUCCNNNNNNNNNNNNNNNNNNNNNNNNNNNNNNNNNNNNNNNNNNNNNNNNNNNNNNNNNNNNNNNNNNNNNNNNNNNNNNNNNNNNNNNNNNNNNNNNNNNNNNNNNNNNNNNNNNNNNNNNNNNNNNNNNNNNNNNNNNNNNNNNNNNNNNNNNNNNNNNNNNNNNNNNNNNNNNNNNNNNNNNNNNNNNNNNNNNNNNNNNNNNNNNNNNNNNNNNNNNNNNNNNNNNNNNNNNNNNNNNNNNNNNNNNNNNNNNNNNNNNNNNNNNNAUCAAUUAUUAUGUACCCCUCCACUAAUGGGCCAAUUUUGACCCGUUGGAGGAAGGGAUCGUAAUUGGCGGACCACCAAACAACGGUCGGGAGAGUCAACCAAGUGCCCACAUAGAGGAACGAGAAGUUGUGCCCACUGAUAGUGUACAAGUGACGAUUACGAAAUUGUUCUUGUGGCUUGCAUGUUGUGUGCAUAUGUAUUGUAUGUAACUUUCCAAUAAAGUUCAGAGCUGGAUUAGAGACUGGCUUGGUCCCUUUGGACACCAAACCCUGGAGUGUGGACACCUCGGUCAAGGAAUGUUGGUCUAAACAGGUGUCCAACAAGAAUCAUAAGAGGAAGGCUAUGGAAACCCUAACUAUGCUAGUUAAUUCGACAAUUUGGAAUAAAACAAAUGUGCAUCUCUUCCAAGGUAUUUCGACCAUGGCAAGCAUCAUCCUUGGACACAUUAGAAGUGAGGUGGCAACAUGGAUCAAAGCUCGGGGCAAAGGAUUUGGGAAACAUUGUGCCGGAAGAGUAGCCCCGUUCUAUUAUUUUAGCCUUUCAUUGUUAGCUAUCUUUUUUCGAUUGAUGUUGUUCUAGAUCUCUCUUAAUUAAUGGGACAAGACAAAUAGUUUGCCUCUGUUUUACAAAAAGGUCCGUAGCUUGCAAAGUUUUAACAUCCAUUUACAUCACCUACUCCAGAGAGAGCGUCUGCUACCAUCUUCUCUCGGACUUUUUUGUACGACGUGAUUAGUGUCAUAAAAUGGAGUGUUUUAGCGUCUAACAUCAGCUCUAAAAGACAUAACACUUAGCUUAAAAAAAAGACAUAACACUUAAAGUUAGAUCGCAAAAAAAACAUACACUUGCAUGUUUUUUGCACUUUAAUGCAACAAUAAAAAACUCAAGGUGAUAUUAUGAUAGACUUUGAACAAUAGAGAAACUCAAUGAAACAUUAUACAAAACUUCAAAAUAAGACUGUUUUUGUGAACAACCAAAAAAAAAAUGUAAUCGUCAGUUAGACUGAUAAUACUUUUAUAUGCUUCUCCACAACAAAAAGCUAUGUAUGAAGAUGUUAAUUAGAAGUCAGAAUAUCUUGUGCAUGGUUGCAUGCUACACCACUAUUCCUUGGAUUAACUAGUUGGGCAUAACGUCCUCCUAUUUUGCGAACCAGCAUGUGAUAAACAAGCUAAUACGAUUUAAAGUAAUCAUACCUCGUCCUAAGAAACUAAAAGUGAAUCUACAAUGGGCGGCUAGAAAAAGAAACAUAAAAGUAGACAAGCGCGUCUGGAAAAAGAAAAAACGAACAACUUAUCACUUAAUAGGGCAUCUAACUAAUCGAGUGGUGCGAAUAACUUUGUUUGGCCACAAUUAUGACAAAGUGAACCUUUUGUUGAAAGACCGAACUCUGCAAUAAAGCUGCAAUGGUAGGCCUAUUUUUAUCAAGGAAUCCACAAUGCUGAGCUGCUGCACACAGUGCAUUCUCACUCACGCAUCACAAAUAGUGGGUCAGUUAUUAAAAAAAUGAAAAGGAGGGUGAGUGAGGCGCACAAAAAAUAGAUACUAUUAGUACUCCAAAAUAGUGGAGUACCAAAGUGAUAGGCCUCUUUGAAUAAGAGGAUUCUCAUAAUUUUUUUCGUGCAUUGAUUAUUUGAUUCGUAAGAGAGAAUCCUAUAGGAAAUGUUUUCCAAGGAUUCGCUUGUACUGCAUUUCAUUUUUUGUGGAUUUUUUAUCUAUCUAUCAAUCAUGACAGUAAAAUGAAUAUAAUAGAAAUAAUAAAAAUUACACUUAGAUCUGUAGACCACCUAGCGAUGACUAUAAACACUGAAGCGAGCCGAGGGUGCCGCCGUCAUCGCCCCUCAUUCACAGAAGCUGGGCAAAAGUUGUGGUAGUAGACGGAAGUGAUCUGCAUGGCACGUAUGCAUGCUAUAAUUAACUGAAUUAUUGGACCAUCAAGAUCGGAUCACAUCGGUCCUAUCCGCGUCGAUGACACUCUCUCCUCCUAUCCCCAACGACUCGCUCGCAUCCCACGCUCUGAAAGCGACCCCUAGGUAUCAUUAUCAAAUGCAUGACACCAACCCCUCCCUCUUUCGAUUUGUCAGUUAAAUUACCUUUAGCCCACACUCACGCACACACCGUGUUAGGAUUGACCGAUGCAGCUUCCCUUCCCUACCUAUUUAACGAGCUAGCCAUCCCACACUCUUUGCACCUCAGUUCAGCAAGCAGCAUCACACACACAUACUAGAAAUGGCAAAGGCCAGGACAACGACGACGACGCUCCUCCUCGUCGCCGCGGCUCUCCUCGUGGCCUCCUGCAGCGCGUGGGAGGUCAACAUCCGCAUGCCGACCUCGGCCGCGGACGUGGACGAGGCCGUGGUGGCGCCGCUGAUCCAUGCGCUGCGGCCGCUGCUGGGCUCCGGCAAGCACGCCGGAGUGGCGUGCGACAGCUGGGUGCUGGGCGUGGAGGCGCACAACGUGCGGGACUGGAAGACCGUGCCCGCCAGCUGCGAGAGCUACGUCGGCCACUACAUGCUCGGCAGCCACUUCCGCCGUGACUCCAAGAUCGUCAUCGACCAGGCCCUCGCCUACGUCGACUCCCUCAAGCUCGCCGGCAACGGCAAGGAGGUGUGGGUCUUCGACAUCGACGAGACAACCCUCUCCAACCUCCCUUACUACGCCAAGCACGGCUUCGGGUACGUACUCGAUUGUAUACAUACACACUACUGAUGCUAUGCGUAGUGCAUUAUACUUGCUAUCUAUUGCAGGUGCAUCUGAGCAGGGACUUGCACUCAUCUUUUCAUUCAAAUAAACUAAAAAUCUGACUAGGCAUCGUUAAUUAAAAUCAACUGACUAGCUAGAUAAACGAUGUGGCAUCGUAAGAUCUGUAAUGAAUGAAAAUGGAAAAACAAGGGAGACUAAAAGUGGAAAUGUAGAAAUGUAUUACUUGGACGUGUUGGACACUUGGACAUCAUCACUUCUGGUCACCUCGAAUUAAUCACAGUCACAGAGACAGCCAGCAGGACCAUAUAUAUGUCCCUCGUAUCAGUGAUCGACAAAUUAAAACAAGAGGGAAACAUACUAUACUAGUACUACAGUUAGAUAUAGAGAUGUGUGCUGUGAUGUGCAUGUGUAUGUGGUGGCCGGAGUAGGACCUUAUCUGUUGUCCACUUGGCUAGCUACUUUAUCGGACGGUUUCUUUUUCAAGCAUCCUUAUCAACCCAUACUUUCUAACUAUGUUAUGCUUAAUUUAGUUUAGAUGGAUAAUACUUAUUUUAUAAGAUGUAAGAAGUCAGAACAUCUCCUGCAUAUUUACAUAUGCUGCAACACUAUUCCUGUUUUUUUUUUGUUGAGUUGGAACACUAUAUUUCCGUGGUUAAGAAGAUUCUCUUGAAACAAAAUGGAAAUUAACUUGAAACUUAGUAGAAGCCAAGAUCAUAUCUAGCCAAGUUGAUGCGAAAGGUUUAGUUCAAAACUAUGAUUAAGUAGUUGUGUGUAGUAUAACUACCUUGUAUAUAUUUUUAAUAUGAUGAAUGAGCUAGUGCAUCGCGAUUUUAAAGUAAAUCAUACCUUUCCUUAAGAAAUUUUAAAGCCGAUCUACACUGAACGGCUAGAAAAAGUAAACAUAAAAGCAUACAAGCGCGUCUGAGAAAAGUAGGAUGAACAGCUCAUCACAACAUAUAUUUAACUAAUCAAGGGGUUAGAGUAACUUUGCCUCGCCACAAUCAUGACAAAGCUAACCAUUUUUGUUGAAAGCCGAAACUUUGCAAUAACGUUGCAAACGGUAGACCUAAUUUAUCAAAGGAAUCAACAAAGCUGUGCUGCUGCAUACAAAGCUGUGCACGAUGAGAUUAAAUACCACAACUAGUGAUUAUGUUUGGCGUUCGUUCUUGGUCCAACAAAACAGUGGCGGGAUGAUGCUGGAGUAGGACCUCGCCGUGUCAUACAUUGAUUUAUACGCUCCACAUGGCCAACUUAAUUGAUCAUCAGUCUCGUUAGUCCACAACUACGUACUGCUCAUGCACAUGCCAUACGUACAGACGCAGAGCAUUGGGUUUAGUUACCGCUCAUCCACUUCGGCCGUUUGGCCACUUGGAUCACAAUCUAGGUCACAUACUAUGUUUCUUCGGGGGAUUCUAAAAAAAUAUAUGUUUCGGUAUGCAUAAUUGCUAGCAGCUGAUGUACUUGAAUCUGCCAUUAAUAUAUCUUCAUACACAUGUGAGUGCAGGGCUACACCGUUCAACGCGACGAGCUUCAACGCAUACGUGCGGGAGGGGAGCGCGCCCGCGCUGCCGGAGACGAAGCGGUUGUACAACAAGCUGCGCUCGGUCGGUAUCAAGCCAGUGUUCCUCACCGGCCGGACCGAGGACCAGAGGGCCAUCACCGUCACCAACCUCCGCCGCCAGGGCAUCUCCGGGUGGAUGAACCUGCUGUUGAAGCAACCCGGCUUCAAGGGCUCCGCGGUGACCUACAAGUCCGGUGAGAGGCAGAAGCUGCAGGACGCCGGGUACGUCAUCGUCGGCAAUAUCGGCGACCAGUGGAGUGACAUCCUCGGCGCGCCUGAGCGGGCCCGCACUUUCAAGCUGCCAGACCCCAUGUACUACAUCGGCUAGGCUGCCUCCGACUCAGGCAUGCCGCCAUUGAUUUCUCGAUCGAAUAAGCUCCAUGCUCUUAGUUAUAUUCAUGUUUAGCCAAUAAACCCUCCCCAAUUGUUGCUUCGUUCAUUUCCAUUGUUGAGAACUUGAGAUUAGUUGCUAUUAUGAAUGUGUUCAUGUAGAAGUUGCAUGUUGUUUAAUCAAUGGAUCGAUCCACACUAGUAGAAAAAGGGCCUACAGUCCCGGUUGGUGAGGGCCUUUAGUCCCGGUUCAUGAACCAGGACUAAAUGGUCGGUACUAAUGCCCUGACCCUUUAGUCCCGGUUCAAUCCAGAACCGGGACAGAUGGGCCUCCACGUGGCCUGUCCGCUGAGCCCAGGCAGGAGGGCCUUUGGUCCCGGUUGGUGGCACCAACCGGGACCAAUAGGCAUCCACGUGUCAGCAUUUCUGUGGCUGGGGUUUUUGUUUUUUUUUUAAAAGGGGGGGGGCGGUUGGGGGGUUUUGGGGGGUUAAUUUAGGUGUUUCAUAUAUUGUGCUAUAGCUAGCUAAUUAAUAGAGAGAAGUGUCCUCUCUUUUGUCUGUGCUUGGUCGACGCUACGUACCAUACAUACGUAUAGAGAGGACUAGCUAGACACGCUAGCUAGCUAGUAAGCAAACAGAAGAUCGUCAUGAACAUAUAUGCAUACGGAGAGAAGUGAUAUCGACCACCUCUCCUUCUCCGAGAGAUUGGUCGAACAACAAGUUCUCGCAUAUCUAUCCGACACUACCGGCUACAUAUAUACAAUAAUUAUCUUUUACAAAUAUAUAAUCUCCUAAAAUACGGACGCGUGGUCCACAUAGUAUUCUCCGUCUUCAGCGAUCAGGUGGUCAAGAAAGAAUGCCGCCAAUUCCUCUUGAAUUGCUCGCAUGCGAUCUGGUGCUAGGAGUUCAUCCCGCAUCCGAAACAUCUAAUUUUAAGAAGGGGGUCAAUACAUAUAUAUAUAUAUAUGAAUGAAUGAAACUCAACACAAAUGAUGGUAAUAAAAUAAAAUUGUGAAUAUUGUUAUUUACGCACUUCAUAUUGUUUGUCGGAGUAGCCCCGCUCACAAGUCGUGUGGCGGAUGGACUCGCAAAUGUAGUAUCCACAGAAAUCAUUCCCUUGUUCCUGCCACAACCACUUUACAAGAAAUAGAGGUCAAUCAAACUGAUAAUUAGCAAGCAUGCUAAAUGGUAUUGAUGAAACUAGCGCUUGAAUCACUAGGAGAUGCCUGGAAUAUGCUACUAUAUAGUACUUACUUUCGGGUGCCUAAAUUGCCGCUUCUUCGGUAGUCCCGGAGUUUUUUUGGUGAAUUUUCUCCAAGCCCUGCCAUACAAAGAAAACAAUUACUUGAUAUCAGAAAUGAACAAAGUUGCUGAUAUGGUGGAUAAUGAUCGAUUUAACUUACUUCUCGAGCAUUUCAGUCAUGUCCGCAUACUCCUUGGGAUCUUUUCGCUUGGAGUCUAAGACAGUUACUACUCCCUUCUCAAGCUUAAUCUCUAGGAGAAUAUAAUGGUAGCUGCGCACACAUGCAUAACUCAUCAAUAUUACAUUACUAUAACCUGGACUAAUAAGGAAACCGAAUAUGCCACAAGACAGUAACACUCACUUGAAGUUGUAAGGAAAGAGUAUUAUAUCUUUGUGUUCAUUUAUUUCCAACGAUCGUAGCAAGUUGGCCUCGGUUUCUUGGGCACGAUAUUGAACCUCAGUUGCAUCUAUGAGAUACGUGUUAAUGAACCCAAUAUCUCCCACUUGUCUUUUCUUCAAUUCGGCGAUCUUCAAUCUGCAUAAUAUAGUGAGGAUAAUUAUAAAUACAUGCAAAUGAAAGGGCUGAGUUAUAUAGAGAGACUUAAUGACGGAAGUAGUACUACUUACAGACAGUAGGAGGUGACCGUUGCUUUAUCGAUGGCCAAUUGAUUGAAAAACUGACAGAACUCCUUAAAUGGAAUAGGCAACAGUUCAAUUCCAAGGAGGUCAUGCUCCUUUUUAACUCUCACAUACAAAGUACUCCUCCCCUCAGACUCUUUGCAGGUUUUCAUGUACCAAUCAUGCAAUCUUCGCAUCAUCGUUGAUAGAGAACUUUCAUCUUUGACGAGAGGCUUCCCGUACUCGUAUCUUUGUAUCUGCACCUCCAAGAUAUCAUAAUGUACAUCAUCGGGUAGGUAAUCUGCAGGAUUGCCAUAACCGGGCACCAUCCUCGGAUCGACGAUGUCGCUAGCAGGCACCUUGAGCGGGGGACACGAUUGCUUCGCUUGUUCGCCGAGCUGGGCAAUUUGUUUCCCAACUCGUCGUUCUUUCAUCCUUUGAUCACUUUUAGUACUUCCCGACCUCUCCGCUUCGGCAAAUGCCUUUCCAAUAAUGCGCUCAUAGUUGCCUUUCGGCGGAGACUUGGGUGGUUUUGUCAGGGCAGCCAGAGUGCGCUUCGCUUUCACCGGAUCUACCUUCUCCUCCGGAGGUGGAUGUCUCUUUGCUUUCAACCCUUGAAACCAGUCAUCCACUUCGGUCUGCGCGAUCUUCGCGUUUUCCUCCUCGCUCCUCUCGUACGGUAACUUCUCUGGAGUCUUCAGAGAAGGACCAAAUCUGUAUCUCCUCCCGCCUUUGUCUGUACUGCUAGACGCCGGCAGAGUAGACGGAGCGGAUGUCUUCUUUCCUUGCUUACGAGGCGGAGGAGAAGGACUGCGACACGCCGGAGCAGCUGGAGCGGCGGCGGGUCUCUUUCGCCCUUGCUGACGAGGCGGAGAAGGAGGAGGCUGGCUGCUCGGGCGCGCCGGCGCAGGAGGAGAAGGAGGCGGAGUGCCACCACGCGCCGGAGAAGGAGCCGGCCGAGUGCCCUGAUCGUCACUCGCCGGAGGAGGAGGCGGUGGAGGAGGCGGAGUGCCCUGACUCGCCGGAGGAGGAGGAGGAGGCGGAGGCGUCCAGUUCGGAAGGUUGAUGAGAUCCUUCCGCCAUAGGCAUGGAGUCUUCAGAGCAGAACCCAGCCGAUACUCCCCUUCACCGGUAGGGUGGUCAAGCCGGAGGUCCUCAAAUCCCUCCGUUAUUUCAUCGACCAUCACCUUAGCAUAUCCUUCUGGAAUCGGCCGGCAGUGAAAAGUUGAGUCGGGUUUAGUAGGAUAAACAGAGCCAACAGCCGCCUUGACCUUCAAAUUGCUCCAUUGCGCCAUAAGGUGGCAAUUUUCAGCAUCCGUGAUAGCAUCCACGGGAUAGCUGGCAGGAGCCGUCAAGGCAUGCUCUGGCUGAAGCAGCUCGGUGGAAGCCACGCUGCUUCUCCGCUGAGAUGGCGGGGUAGCUUCGGGGAAGCUUCGGCAGGUCGUUUGCUGCGAUCUGCUUCUCGUUCCUCUAGCCCCAUUACCCUUUCGUGCAGCGCCUGCAGUUGGCUCUGCUCCAGUUUCUUCCCCCUCUCCUGGGUUUUGUAACCCGCUGCGUCCGGAAAUCCAGCCUUCCAAGAAACGGAGCCUGGCGUGCCUCGUGUCCGUCCAGGGUGCUCAGGAUUGUCGAGGGCCAUUGUGAGCUCGUCCUUCUCCCUGUCUGGAACGAAUGUUCCUUGCUGCGCUGCUUCGAUAUAUUGCUGAAGCCUCUUGACUGGUAUGUCCAAUUGUUCGUCCGUCCAAAUGCACUUCCCUGUUAUAGGGUCCAAGGAUCCGCCGGCCCCAAAGAAUCAAGUCCGGCAACGUUCUGGACAGUUCAUUGUCUCUGGUUCGAUCCCUUUAUCAAGUAGAUCAUUCUCAGCCUUGGCCCACUUAGGCCGGGCUACGAGGUAGCCACCUGACCCCGUGCGAUGGUGAAGCUUCUUCUUCUCAGCAUUUCUCUUGUUUGUCGCCGACAUCUUUUUACUCUUUUCCGAUGUCUUGUGGGCCACAAAUGCGGGCCAGUCAUCUCUGAUCUUCUCAUAUUUGCCAAUGAAUUCUGGUGUCUCAUUUUUUUCGACAUACCUAUUGAGGUCUUUCUUCCAAUUCCUGAAUAGGUCUGCCAUCUUCCUCAGAGCAAAAGACUUGAUUAAUGGCUCUAUAACUGGCUUCUCCGGAUCAUCCUCCGGCGGUAGGGUGAAAUUUGACUUCAGCUCAGUCCAAAGAUUCUUUUUCUGCAUCUCAUGGACAUAAGACACCUUAGGGUCUUCGUUCUUAGGCUUAUACCAUUGCUGGAUGCUGAUCGGGAUCUUGUCCCUAACCAGAACCCCGCACUGAGCAACAAAUGCCUUCUUUGUCCGGUAGGGUUCAAUCGGUUGGCCGUCGCGCGCGAUUUGUAUGAUCUCAAACUUUUCAUCCGAGCUCAACUUUUUCUUCGGGCCUCGUCUCUUUACCGAAGUUGUGCUCGAUCCGGAGAGCUAGAAAAAAGAACAAAGACGAGAGUUAAUUAACAUGUGUACAUACCAAAACAAUGAAUGCAUCAAUUAGCUAGUCAGCACAGGCUUAACUAAUAUAUAUACCUGGCCGGACUCGGUUUGGUGAUCACCGGAGCCAUCCUCACGGUCUACUUCUUCACCCUCUCCUUCUUGCACCGGCAUUGGGUCAUUGGAGCCAUGUAAAUCAUAGCCAGCUGCUUCUUCACCCUCUCCUUCCAGACCAUCGUUGUCGUUGAGAAACAUCAACGAGGAGACGGCAUCACUUCCUUGUGCGAUUAUGUCCCUCAACAACGCUUCUUGUGCUUCGUCUCGGGGGGUGUCCAUAGUUUCUACAAAUAUUUACAACAUGGCAAUUAUUAUUCAAACAUGACAGAUAUGGAUAUAUCAGUGGCAAACGUAGAACUAGCUAGCUAAUCACAAUAAGAAAUCAUAUUAUUGGCCUCGACGCUGCUUCUCUAGGGUUUGGGGUGGCCUCGACAAUGCUUCAAGGGUUAGGGGGCGGCCUCGAGAACGCUUCAAGCUAGGAGGGGGUAAUAUCGACCCCCCCCCCCCACGUGUUGAAGCUAUCGGGAGGGGGUCAGCGUUGAACACUACAUCUAUGUCCCACAAGUGACGUGGGCAUCAACGCCCGCGGUAGGGUAGAGGGUCGUGGAUCGCCGAGCGGUCAAGGGUCAAUGGGUCGAGGAUCGCCGAGGGGUCGGGAGGUUGCCUAGUGUCAAAGGAUUCAACAAAACCAUGUCUUCAUCAUUAGGCGAAAGUAACAGGUGCAUGAUGGUACGAUGCUCUCCAAAGUUAUUUUGGAACGGAGUCCCAGAUAGGAUAAUUCGCUUUUUGGUACAAAGUUCAGCAAGAACCUUCCAAAUAUCGUUAUUUGGAAGGCCUUUGCUGAAAUUCGUACAAAAAGGCAAAUUAUCCUAUACGGGACUCCAUUCCAGAAUAACUUUGGAGGACUUCGUACCAUCAUGCCAUGGUUACUUCCGGCUAAUGAUGAAGCCAUGGAUUUCUUCAAUACUUUGACACUAUAGGAACCCUCUCGACCCCUCGGCGAUCCUCGACCCCUUGAACCCUCGAUGACCCUGGAACCCUCGACUCCUAGACGAUCCUGGAACCCACGAUCCCUCGACCCUAGAACCCUCGACCCGGGAUAAUAUCGACAACACUUCAAGGGGGUAAUACCGACAACGACGAGAUACAUACACGGGAGAAAUUAAUGUUAUCGGGGAGGGGGUAUAUCGACCCCCCCACGUAUUGAAGUUAUCGGGAGGGGGUAUAUGGACCCCCCCCUCAUGUUGAAGUUAUCGGGAGGCGUAUAUCGACGAUGACAGAGGAGAAGAUCGAAGAAAAAAAAGAAGAAAAAAAAGAGGAGAAGAAGAAAGGAAUAGAGGAGAAGAAGAAAAAAUAGAAUAUUUUCUAUUUUUUCUUCUUCUCCUCUAUUUCUUUCUUCUUCUCCUCUUCUUUUUCUUCUUUUUUCCUCUUCUUAUUUAUUUCUCCUCUUCUUCCUCUCCUCUUCUUCUCCUUUCUUCCUCUUCUUAUUUUCCUUUUUCCUCUCCUUCUUUUUCUUCUUCUUCCUUCUUUCUAGCUAGAUAUAUAAAACUUUUCUAAAAAUGUAACUUUUGCAUAUAUAAAACUUUUUNNNNNNNNNNNNNNNNNNNNNNNNNNNNNNNNNNNNNNNNNNNNNNNNNNNNNNNNNNNNNNNNNNNNNNNNNNNNNNNNNNNNNNNNNNNNNNNNNNNNNNNNNNNNNNNNNNNNNNNNNNNNNNNNNNNNNNNNNNNNNNNNNNNNNNNNNNNNNNNNNNNNNNNNNNNNNNNNNNNNNNNNNNNNNNNNNNNNNNNNNNNNNNNNNNNNNNNNNNNNNNNNNNNNNNNNNNNNNNNNNNNNNNNNNNNNNNNNNNNNNNNNNNNNNNNNNNNNNNNNNNNNNNNNNNNNNNNNNNNNNNNNNNNNNNNNNNNNNNNNNNNNNNNNNNNNNNNNNNNNNNNNNNNNNNNNNNNNNNNNNNNNNNNNNNNNNNNNNNNNNNNNNNNNNNNNNNNNNNNNNNNNNNNNNNNNNNNNNNNNNNNNNNNNNNNNNNNNNNNNNNNNNNNNNNNNNNNNNNNNNNNNNNNNNNNNNNNNNNNNNNNNNNNNNNNNNNNNNNNNNNNNNNNNNNNNNNNNNNNNNNNNNNNNGGGAAACUGGCGAGGGAAAUCUGAAAUUUCCCAAGUGUUUUCUUAUAUAGCAAGGGCAUUCGUCCCGGUUCGUGCACCAACCGGGACUAAAGGGGGGCAUUAGUCCCGGGUAGUGGCACCAACCGGGACUAACGCACCCCUUUAGUCCCGGUUGGUGCCACCAACCGGGACCAAAGGCCUGUGCUGCCCCGAACCUAAUAUUUAGUCCCACCUUGCUAGUUGAGAGGGAGGCACACCUGUUUAUAAGGUGCGGUGCGCCUUUCCUCUCGAGCUCCUCUCUUAAGCAGGCUUUCGGGCUUAACCCUGCAAUCUGCGCCUGUGGGCCUGUUGGGCCUCCUGCGGGCCUGGAUCCUGGCCCAUGGUAGGGUCUCUAGUCGUAUUCAGGCCGUGGGGGCCCAGUAGGUGGCACUUUUUUCCUGUUUUUUGUUUUGUUUUCUGCAUUAUUUAUUUUCUUUUGUUUUUUUCUUUAUUUUUUAAUUCUUUUUGCUUUUAGUUUUAGAAAAAUUAUAAACUUUCUGUUAGUGCCAUUAGUUUUCAAAUUUGAAAACACUUUUUUUGUUUUCUUUGUUGCUUUAUUCAUUUUAUUUUGUUUCUACUUACAACAAAAUACUUAUUGUUGCUAUUUUUAUUUUUUUUCCAGUUUUUUUUGUUUUGUUUUCUACAUUAUUUAUUUUCUUUUGUUUUUUGCUUUNNNNNNNNNNNNNNNNNNNNNNNNNNNNNNNNNNNNNNNNNNNNNNNNNNNNNNNNNNNNNNNNNNNNNNNNNNNNNNNNNGUGCCAUUAGUUUUCAAAUUUGAAAACACUUUUUUUGUUUUCUUUGUUGCUUUAUUCAUUUUAUUUUGUUUCUACUUACAAUAAAAUACUUAUUGUUGCUAUUUUUAUUUUUUUCCAGUUUUUUGUUUUGUUUUCUGCAUUAAUUAUUUUCUUUUGGUUUUUUGCUUUAUUUUUUAAUUCUUUUUGCUUUUAGGUCAGCAAAAUUAUAAACUUUCUGUUUGUGCCAUUAGUUUUCUUUGAAAUUUGUGUGAAUCACAAGUUUGUGAGCUCAACAAGGCGUGUAGAGGGAUGGGCUUAUAAACCGGUGUGAGCGCCCUUCGGUUGGCGAGGUUUUCAAAUUCAUAGUUUUCAAAUGAACUCUGAAAAAGUUGGCAUAGCAUGUGCAUGUACAAAACAGACAAUGGUAUCAUACUCGUCUGUUACAAAGUUGGCAUGGUAUCAUCAUAUAUAAUAGUUGCGGGAGAAAGUCUUCACUUUUUCUUCGCUUGUGUCGUUUGCUUAUUGCGCCGUAACCAUGGAUAAUCUUCAUCGUUUAUCAGGAUGCUUGGGUCAGCCUUGACUUUGAAGGGGGGAAUUUCAUGAAACUUUUCAUACUCUUCAGACAUGUCUGUCUUGCCCUCCACUCCCAGGAUGUCCCUUUUUCCUGAAAGAACUAUGUGGCGCUUUGGCUCAUUGUAUGAUGUAUUCGCUUCCUUAUCUUUUCUUUUCCUCGGUCUGGUAGACAUGUCCUUCACAUAGAUAACCUGUGCCACAUCAUUGGCUAGGACGAACGGUUUGUCAGUGUACCCAAGAUUUUUCAGAUCCACUGUUGUCAUUCCGUACUGUGGGUCUACCUGUACCCCGCCUCCUGACAGAUUGACCCACUUGCACUUAAACAAAGGGACCUUAAAAUCUACUCCGUAGUCAAGUUCCCAUAUGUCUACUAUGUAACCAUAAUAUGUGUCAUUUCCAUUGUCGGUUGCUGCAUCAAAGCGGACACUGUUGUUUUGGUUGGUGCUCUUUUCAUCUUGGUCAAUCGUGUAAAAUGUAUUCCCAUUUAUCUCGUAUCCUUUCCAAAUCAUUACAGUCGAAGAUGGUCCCCUGGACAACAAGUACAGCUCAUCACAAACAGUGUUGUCACCUCUGAGACGUGUUUCCAACCAAAUGCUGAAAGUCCUGAUGUGUUCACAUGUAAUCCAGUCGUCGCACUGCUCCGGGUGUUUGAAGCGCAGACUGUUCUUGUGUUCAUCGACAUACGGGAUCACCAAGGUAGAGUUUUGUAGAACUGUGUAGUGUGCUUGAGACCAAGAAUAUCCGUCCCUGCAUAUUAUUGAGUCCCUUCCAAGCGUGCCUUUUCCAGUCAGUCUCCCCUCAUACCGCGAUUUAGGGAGACCUAUCUUCUUAAGGCCAGGAAUGAAGUCAACACAAAACCCGAUGACAUCCUCUGUUUGAUGGCCCAUGGAGAUGCUUCCUUCUGGCCUAGCGCGGUUACGAACAUAUUUCUUUAGGACUCCCAUGAACCUCUCAAAAGGGUACAUAUUGUGUAGAAAUACGGGUCCCAGAAUGACAAUCUCGUCGACUAGAUGAACUAGGACGUGCGUCAUGAUAUUGAAGAAGGAUGGUGGGAACACCAGCUCGAAACUGACAAGACAUUGCGCCACAUCACUCCUUAGCGUUGGUACGAUUUCUGGAUCGAUCACCUUCUGAGAUAUUGCAUUGAGGAAUGCACAUAGCUUCACAAUGGCUAAUCGGACGUUUUCCGGUAGAAGCCCCCUCAAUGCAACCGGAAGCAGCUGCGUCAUAAUCACGUGGCAGUCAUGAGACUUUAGGUUCUGGAACUUUUUUUCUGGCAUAUUUAUUAUUCCCUUUAUAUUCGACGAGAAGCCAGUCGGGACCUUCAUACUGAGCAGGCAUUGAAAGAAUAUUUCUUUCUCUUCUUUCGUAAGAGCGUAGCUGGCAGGACCUUCAUACUGCUUCGGAGGCAUGCCCUCUUUUUUGUGCAAGCAUUGCAGGUCCUCUCGUGCCUCAGAUGUAUCUUUUGUCUUCCCAUACACGCCCAAGAAGCCUAGCAGGUUCACGCAAAGGUUCUUCGUCACGUGCAUCACGUCGAUCGAAGAGCGGACCUCUAGGUCUUUCCAGUAGGGUAGGUCCCAAAAUAUAGAUUUCUUCUUCCACAUGGGUGCGUGAUUCUCAGCGUCAUUCGGAACAGCUAGUCCGCCGGGACCCUUUCCAAAGAUUACGUGUAAAUCAUUGACCAUAGCAAGUACGUGAUCACCGGUACGCAUGGCGGGCUUCUUCCGGUGAUCUGCCUCGCCUUUGAAAUGCUUGCCUUUCUUUCGACAUUGAUGGUUGGUCGGAAGAAAUCGACGAUGGCCCAGGUACACAUUCUUCCUGCAGCUUCCCAGGUAUAUACUAUCGGUGUCAAGUAAACAGUGCGUGCAUGCGUGGUAUCCCUUGUUUGUCUAUCCUGAAAGGUUACUGAGAGCGGGCCAAUCGUUGAUGGUCACGAACAGCAACGCCUUUAGGUCAAAUUCCUCCUUUUUGUGCUCAUCCCACGUACGUACACCGUUUCCAUUCCACAGCUGUAAAAGUUCUUCAACUAAUGGCCUUAGGUACACAUCAAUGUCGUUGCCGGGUUGCUUAGGGCCUUGGAUGAGAACUGGCAUCAUAAUGAACUUCCGCUUCAUGCACAUCCAAGGAGGAAGGUUAUACAUACAUAGAGUCAUGGGCCAGGUGCUGUGAUUGCUGCUCUGCUCCCCGAAAGGAUUAAUGCCAUCCGCGUUAAAGCAAACCAUACGUUCCUUGGGUCCUUUGCAAACUCAUCCCAGUACUUUUUCUCAAUUUUUCUCCACUGCGACCCGUCAGCGGGUGCUCUCAACUUCCCGUCUUUCUUACGGUCCUCACUGUGCCAUCGCAUCAACUUGGCAUGCUCUCCGUUUCUGAACAGACGUUUCAACCGUGGUAUUAUAGGAGCAUACCACAUCACCUUUGCAGGAACCCUCUUCCUGGGAGGCUCGCCGUCAACAUCACCAGGGUCAUCUCGUCUGAUCUUAUACCGCAAUGCACCGCAUACCGGGCAUGCGUUCAGAUCCUUGUAGGCACCGCGGUAGAGGAUGCAGUCAUUAGGGUAUGCAUGUAUCUUCUCCACCUCCAAUCCUAGAGGGCAUACGACCUUCUUUGCUGCGUAUGUACUGUCGGGCAAUUCGUUAUCCUUUGGAAGCUUCUUCUUCAUUAUUUUCAGUAGCUUCUCAAAUCCUUUAUCAGGCACAGCAUUCUCUGCCUUCCACUGCAGCAAUUCGAGUACGGUACCGAGCUUUGUGUUGCCAUCUUCGCAAUUGGGGUACAACCCCUUUUUGUGAUCCUCUAACAUGCGAUCGAACUUCAGCUUCUCCUUUUGACUUUCGCAUUGUGUCCUUGCAUCGACAAUGACCUGGCGGAGAUCAUCAUUAUCGGGCACAUCGUCUGGUUCCUCUUGAUCUUCAGCAGCUUCGCCCCUUGCAGCACCAUCGUGCACAUCGUCUGGUGCAUCUUGAUGUUCAGUAGCAUCACCGUAUUCAGGGGGCACAUAGUUGUCAUCGUACUCUUCUUCCUCGCCGUCUUCCAUCAUAACCCCUAUUUCUCCGUGCCUCUUCCAAACAUUAUAGUGUGGCAUGAAACCCUUGUAAAGCAGGUGGGUGUGAAGGAUUUUCCGGUCAGAGUAAGACUUCGUAUUCCCACAUAUAGGGCAUGGACAACACAUAAAACCAUUCUGCUUGUUUGCCUCAGCCACUUCGAGAAAAUCAUGCACGCCCUUAAUGUACUCGGAGGUGUGUCUUGAACCGUACAUCCAUUGCCGGUUCAUCUGCGUGCAUUAUAUAUAAUUAAGUGUGUCAAAAAUCAUUACAGAACAUCAUAAAUAGAUAAUUAAGUGACCAAAUUAAUAGAAGUUCAUCAUCACAUAAAAACCAAAGUACAUACAUAGUUCUCAUCUAACAACAUAAAGCUCUGCAGAGCAUCUAAAUUAAUUAAACCAUACAUUGAAACUAUGUAAAACAUUUCAAUGCGAAAACAAAUGUGAUCAUAAUCGCAACCAAGGUAACAACUGAUCCAACGGCAUAAUGAUACCAAGCCUCGGUAUGAAUGGCAUAUUUUCUAAUCUUUCUCAUCUUCAAGCGCAUUGCAUCCAUCUUGAUCUUGUGAUCAUCGACGACAUCCGCAACAUGCAACUCAAAUAUCAUCUUCUCCUCCUCAAGUUUUUUUAUUUUUUCCUUCAAGAAAUUGUUUUCUUCUUCAACUAAAUUUAACCUCUCGACAAUAGGGUCGGUUGGAAUUUCCGGUUCAACAACCUCCUAGAUAAAUAAAAUCUAUGUCACGUUGGUCGGCAUAAUUUUCAUAAACAAUAAAUGAACCAAUAGUUAUGAAAAGAUAAUAUAUACCACAUCCGAAUCAUAGACAGGACGAGGGCCGACAGGGGCGGAUACCAAAACCAUCGCACUAUAUAAGAUGCAAUAAUAAAAGUAAGAAAAUAAUACAAGUAUCUAUCUAAACAAACAAGUAAUAAUAUUUUUCCUUUCAGAAAGAAGAUAAGAACAAGAGGCUCACCACGGUGGUGCCGGCGAUGAGAUCGGCGCGGGUGAUCGACGGCGAUGAAGACGGGGACGGGGCGUGACGGACCGCUAAACCUAGAUAAAUAUUGAGGAAAAUGGAGCUUGGCGGUCGAGCUUGGAGAGGAGAAACCUUAAAUAGUGUGGCUCGGGCAUUCCAUCGAACACCUUGUGUGCAUAGGAGGUGAGCUAGAGCACCACCAAGCCCUCUCCCCCUCGGCCAGAAAAAACAGAGCAGUGUGCUCUGCUCUUGCGCGAGGGGCUAUAUAUAGGCAGCACCAUUGGUCCCGGUUGGUGGCAUGAACCGGGACUAAAGGUAACCCUUUGGUCCCGGUUCAUGCCACCAACCGGGACCAAUAGUGGUGGGCCAGGAGCCAGGACCAUUGGUCCCGGUUCGUCCCACCAACCGGGACCAAAAGGUCCGGACGAACCGGGACCAAUGGCCCACGUGGCCCGGCCGGCCCCCUGGGCUCACGAACCGGGGCAAAUAGCUCCAUUGGUCCCGGUUCUGGAUUGAACCGGGACUAAUGGGCUGAACUGGCCUGGGCCAUUGCCCCCUUUUCUACUAGUGCCAUGGUCCACUGUUUUGUUUUGUGAGAAAUCCAUCGGCUAUUGUUGUGUUCUUCUUAAAAAAAUAUUAGAAAAGGAGGAUCAUGCCCGACCUCUACAUCAGAGUGAUGCAUGCAACCCUUUUAUUAAGCAAAGUAUCUAAAAAGUCCGCGGUCUAGGACAUGUUGCUCGGAGCUAAAAAAAGUAAUAAAAAAAGGUAAAAGUUGGCACAACCGGUGAAAAUAGGACGAGAUGACUAAACAUCUAGCCUAUUACUGGACCGUCAUCCAAACCGAUUGUAGAUAUCCCGAAUUACCAUCUCCCAUCGGGUAGACCCAAUAACCAAAGGCUCCCUGGCUUCCGCAGGAGUGAGUAACGACCAUGUAUAGAUCCAAGUAGUGGCCCUAUAAAUAAUCUGCAAAAAGUUUAUACGAGUUUAUUUGUUAAAACCCAUAUCAUUUUUGCAGUUCCAUGUAGCCCAAAGUAAUACGCAUACUCCUAUCCGAAUAUGCCUCGAAGUAUUUAGCUCAACUCCAUUUAGCCACGUCCUAAAUAAUGUGUGAAUAUUAUUUGAAGCGGUGAUAUUAAAGGCUAUAUGAAUUGAACGCCAUAAUAGUUUAGCCAGCGGAAAAUCGAUAAAGAGGUGUUUAAUAGUUUCAUCUUGAUCAAAAAAGCAGCAUCGUUGACAAAUACGCUUUGCCAAGUAAUCCUUAGUCAGAAUCACCUCUUGUGAACAAACCACAUAAAGACUUUGAUUCUUAACGGCACUUUAAUCUUCCAAAUAUGUAUCGGUUUCAGAAUCGGACCAGAGUCAAUUAGGUGUACGUACAUAGAUUUCACCGAGAAGAUCCCGUUCAUGGUUAAUCUAUAGUGAAUAGUAUCUUGCUCAUCAGAGAGGUGAAUGUUAAUCAACCUCCGCGCCAGAUGCAACCAUGUGUCCCAUCGGUCUCCUACUAAAGAUCGCCGCAAUUCAAUGUUUAGAUAUUAACAUUCGGUCUUCUUAACUUGUAUCUUGUACUUUUGAUGGUGCAUUUUUUUUACCAAAUAUUAUUGAUAGUGGAACUAAUAUCAGAGGUACAUGUAAUAUUAUCACAUAUAUGGUGGGGAAAUACACUAUGUUCCUGGUUGUAUAUGCACCCUAUAUGGGGAUUUUUUUAAUAUUUUAAUAAAAAGUCAAAAUAGGUAAGAACUAUUUUGACAAAACACUUGACUUACCUGUGCACUAGUAUAUAAAUCUCGACGAAAAACAAACAAAAGUUGACCUCACAGCAAAAAAGACAAAAUUUAUUUGCUAUUAUAGGUCACUAUUCACACUAUUUUAGCCAAAAUUUUGUCUUUUCUGAAAAGAAGUCAAAGGGAUAUUUUUUUUGUGGAUAUUUUUUUCUCACGAGUACAAUAGAAGGUCAAGUUUAUUUCAAAAAUAUUUUCAGGAUUUUUUGACUUUUUGUUGAGUUACUAAUUUUUCCCCAUAUAGGGGGCAUAUGUCCCCAUAGACCAAAAGUUCCCCUCCCAGUGUUACUACUAAAGAAUGACCCUUUUUUGCCCCCCUCCAUUAAUGGGCCCAUUUUGACCCGUUGGAGGAAGGGGUCGUCGUUGGCGGGUCACCAAACGCCCGUCGCGUGAGACUGCAGAGGCAACCAAGGGAUGGUUGUAUAAACACGUUGCCACCACAUAUCAAGAGAGAAAGGCUAUGGGAAGCAAGAAAAGUUAAGCCUCACUAUGAUAGUUACUUGGACGGUUUGGAACGGAACAGAUGUGCGUGUCUUUCAAGGUAUUUAAGUGCUGCCAAAAAUUCUCCUUGCAAUGAUUAAAAAUGAGGCAGCAAAAUUAGUCAAGGCUGGAGCAAAGGAUUUGGGAAACAUUAUGUCGGAAGAGUACCCGUUCUAUUAAUUUAGCGUUUCAUUGUUGGCCUGUAUUUGUUUUUGGUUGCCCUUGUUCUAACUUUCCCUUAAUUAAUAGAAUGAUACAAAUAGUUUGCCUCCGUUUUAAAAGAAGGUUCAGAGCUAGCACAGUUGUAACAUCCCUCUACAUCAGUCCACUCUAGAGAGGGUCUCUGCAACCUUUUUCUCUCUGCAUCUUUGUACGACGUGAUUCGUGUCUUGACAUGGAGUGUUUGAGCGUGUUCAGCUCUCAAUAACAUAUCACUUAAAAUUGCAUGGCAAAAGAAUAUCAUACACUUGCAUGUUUUUUGCAUUUUCAUCAAUACACUAUGAAACGAUAAAAACACUGAUGGAAUAUUAUGUAGUAACACUCUUCAACAGAACAAGAUUGCCAAUAACCAAAUAUUUCAUCGAAACCAUGGUGAAGAUAUAGUGAUUCGACGGCCUGCACUUCUAGGGGAUCAACCCCGGCCCAAGUACGUUUAUCGAUCAGGACUGCACAUCUUUUUAGAUGGGCGUCAAGACGCUUUCAAAAACAAUUAUUGGCAAUGUUCGUGCGGGUGAAAGAGUGAGAACAUCGUUGCUCUAGUCUAAUUGCAACAUAUUUACUGAAGUCUUUGGAGUAUUUCUUCGAGCUAAGAUUGAUACCGCAAAGAAGGUGUUUACAAGAGAUUUCAUUGUAAUUCUUAGUCACAUGAGCUACUUUGUAUUUUCCUUGGAUCUUAGGUCCAAAUAAGUGUAUAUGUAAUUUUUAUGAGUAUGAAUACAAUGGUGUUUCUAAAAAGGAAUCUCCAUAACAACAGAAAGUAUGUAUGAGGAUGUCAGAAGUCAGAACAUCUUGUGUAUGGUUACAUGCUACAACUAUUCCUUAGAUAAACUAGUUGUGUAGAACUUCGCCCUUUUUUUGCAGAAUCUUGUAUUUUUAAUGUGACAAACGAACUAAUGCAUUGCAAUCUAAAGUAAAUCAUACCCCGUCCUAUGAAAUUUAAAGUGAAUCUACACUUGAUGACUAGAAAAAGAAACAUAAAAGUAUACAAGCAUGUGCAAGAAAAGAAGAUGAACAACUUAUCACUUGCCUCAUAUGUCAUCUAACUAAUCGAGUGGUUCGAAUAACUUUGCUUCGCCACAGUGAUGACAAAGCCAACCUUUUAUUGAAGCCCAAAAUCUGCAAUAAAGCUGCAAUUGUAGAUAUAUUAUUUGUCAAGGGAAUCCACAAAGCUGAGCUCCUGCACACAAGAGACUAAGAGAGUGGGUGAAUUAUAAAAAAACCAAGGAGGGUGAGUGAGGUGCACGAUGAAGUUAAAUAUUAGAAGUACUCCAAAAUAGUGGGGUACCAAAAUUAUAGGCCUCGUUGAUUCAAAGAAUUUUCAUAGAAAUUUGAAGGAUUAUGGUCCUUCAGAUUUUUUCCUACAUUGGUUGUUCGGUUUGUAUGAUUGAAUUCUAUAGGAAUUUUUCCUAAUGAUUCCCUUGUUCUACAUUUCAGAGAAAUUUUAGCAUCUAAUCAAACAUCUUAAAAAAUCAUUUGUUUUUAUUGUGAAACAAUCAAACCAAUCAAAAUCAUAUAGGAUUUAUACAGUCAUAACAAAUGCAAUCCUAUGUAUUUUCUAUUUCUGUGUUUUUGAAUCGUGUGAAUCAAAUUAUAUUGGCCAUAGUGUACUCCUAUAGUAAGUUUGGCAUCCGUCUUGGUCCAACAAAAUAGUGGUGUGGUCGGGAUCUCGCUGUGCGAUAUCUCUUACUCGCUCUGUAAACUAAUAUAAGACGUUUUAGAUCACUAAUUUAGUAGUCUAAAACGUCUUAUAUUAGUUUAUUGAGAGAGGAUUUUAUACCCUCCACUUGGCGGACCAAGUUUAUCACCAGUCUCGGUCGUCGACAACUAGUACUGCUCAUGCACGUGAGCAUAUAUUGGGUUUAGGCACCGCUGUCUGGUCCACUUGACCACCGUUUGCAGCGGUGAGUUUGCAUGUUAACGUUGGAUCGCCGUUGUUUUGGUCCUGCAUGGAAUGAUGGCCGGAGUAUGUAGAACCAUACAGAUUAGUACUAAUCAUAGUAAUUAAGGAGUAUAUCCACUUGGCCACCUUAUCGUUUAUCCCCAAACGGGCUACGUACUUACCCAACAUUACAAUCACCGUCGCUAAACUACCCCUUCAAUUCCGUAAUUUAGUGCAUAUAGUUUUUCUUUUUUAAAUCAAGUUUUACAAACGUUUACCAAGUUUAUUGAAAAACCCGCCUACAUCUAGAAUACAAAAUAUCUAUCAUACUGACCUACAAUAGCAAAGAUUAUUUUUUGCCCUCAAGUGAAUGCCGGUUUUUUAUUCGUGAAAAUUUAUAUACUAAUGCAAAAGGAAGUCAAGUUUAUUCUAAAAAAUCUUCUGAACUAUUUUGACUCUUUUUGUAUUUUUUUAUUUUUCCCAUAUAGGGUGUAGAUACAACCAGGAACCAAGGGGUAUUUCCCUGCUACUCCCUCCUUUUCAUAAUGUAGUGCGUGUAGAUUUUCUAAAAAGUCAACCAAACAAACUUUAACAUGAAAACUAUUUAUAUGUACAAUUCAAAUCAUACUGAAUAUUAAAAUAUAACUGAUGAUGUUUCAGUUAUAUGCAUUUGGUAUUUUAAAUGUUCAUAUUUUGCCUAUAAACAUAUUCAAAGUUUAUAAUAUUUGAUUUUUCAAAAAUCUAUAUGCACUAUGUUAUAAAACAGAGGGAGUAUAAGGGCAUCUCCAACGCUGGGCACUUGGGGAGGGCGCUAGGAAUAAAAUCCCAGCUGAUCGGCAGUUAGAGCAAGUAUAAUAGUAGGCUAUAAGUCUACUGACGUGGCAUUUUUGUCUAUGUAGUUGAGAGAGAGUGAAAAAAGUAAAGGAGUGGGCUCUUAUGCAAGAGCCCGUCUCUAUGUGUACUCCUAGGUAAAAACAUUUAAUGAGGGAAAAAAUAGAGAGAAAAUGAGGGAAAAAAACUGUAACCUUAUAGCCAACCUCAUAGUCAGCAUUAUUGUAUAAGUAAAUAAUAAUUCUAACUCUUGAUGAAAUGACAUGCUCAUAUUGCCGGCAGCUGGCUAUAGUAUUAAUCAUGCUCUUACUUAAUUAAUUCUUUGCGUGGGCCGCCGCAGCGACGCAAAACAAGGCAUCCAGUGCUAGCCUUUUUUUUCUACGAGAUGACACACGAAGCGCUGUUUCCACACAUGUUUAGCGCCAGUAGUUAGCGCUCUUUUGGAAAAACAGUGUUGGAGGCUUUUGUGCGAACUGGAAUCAUUAUGUGCCAGAGUAUUGAAAGCAAAGUAUUCCUCCGAUGGUGACCUUCUGAACUAUACGUUGAAAAAGGGUAGUUCAUAUACUUGGCAGAGUCUCUGGAGUGGAAUUUAGUCCUUUGAAAGAGGACACAUUUGGAGAGUAGGAGAUGGAUCACAGAUUAAUAUCUGGGAGGACCCUUGGAUUCCCAGCAGCCCGACCCACAGAGUUCUUACACCAAGGGGAAAUAUAGUGAUCACAAGAGUUUAUGAACUAAUUGAUUCGGAAAACAGAGUGUGGAAUGAACAAUUGCGAUUUUUUUGGCCAAUUGAUGUGGAGCGUAUUAUGAAUAUCCCUCUAGCUUUGAGAAUGAUGGAAGAUUUUGUAUCAUGGCACUUCAAUAGAAGUGGAAUUUUCUCAGUAAGAUCGGCUUACCAUGAAGGGUGGGAGCACCGGGAAAAUAUCUGGUGCUCUGGGAGCACCUAAGCUUAGGUGCUCCCGUGCGAGCUCGGCCGUUGGAUCUCAGAUCCAAGAGCUUCCAUGAAAUGAUGAAUAUUUUUGUAAAAAAGCCCUCAUAGAAUCUGAAAAAUGUGUGCAAGUACAGCAACUACAGCAACUCCUCGUAUGCCCUUGGAUCUGAGAUCCGAGGGCCCAGAAGUCCAUAUCAUGGGAGCACCUAUGUUCCCGUAUCACAAGAUACUCUCCCUGGGAGCACCAGCAUGGACAAAAGUUGAGGACGACAAACUCAUUACAAGCCUCAAGUACCAUUUGGAAAUUGCGUGUGCCAUCAAAAAUCAAAAUCCAUGUUUGGAGGACUUUGCUUGGAGCUAUUCCUUGCCGUGGUGUUUUAGGAAACAGACAUAUGAUUACAAGUUCCUAGUGUCCCCUUUGUAGUUCGGACUGUAAGAGCAUUAGGCAUGCCAUGUUUUUGUGCCCGAGGGUGCAGGAAAUUUGGUGAAUUCUUGGACUACAGGAGCUAGUGAAUGAAAUAUGCACAGUAGAGAGAGAUGGAGGUUCGGCGCUGGCCGAUCUCCUACUAUCCAAAAGUACCAUAUGUCCACUGGUGGCUGAUGUCCAGCGCAAUGAUCUUGUGUCCACAACAAUCUGAUACGCAUGGUGGGAACGGCGCAAAUACACACACGGUGAGAACAUCUAUGAGUCGGCUAGGUCGGGCCAAGCUAUAUCAACUUUAGCGCAGAACUUUUCACGAGCAAGGUUGAAGCAAACUAAAAUUAAAAAGACAUGGCUGGUCCAAGCCGCCUAAGGGCGUCAUCAAACUUAAUGUCGAUGCAGCAUUUGAUCAGGACACUGGUACAGGAGGUACGGGAGCAGUGUUGCAUGAUGAGGCCGGUUCCUUUGUGGAAGACGCAGCGACAACAAAGGCUAGAGGACUACGAGAUGGCCUCCUACUAGCGAAUGAAAUUGGUUGCAACGAAAUUUAUGUCGAAGCGGACUGUUUGGAGGUAAUCGAGAUCAUGCUGAGUAGCCGGAAUUCACUAGGACCAGCAGCGGUAAUAUAUGAAGAAUGCACUUUCUUAUCUAGCAAUUUUAUCUCUAUAGUUUUUAGCCAUUGCCCUCGGGAAGCCAAUAUGGCGGCGGAUCUGCUAGCUAAGAACUUGGAGGUGUCUCGAACAAUUGUUUGGAAAUCGAAGCCCCGGGUUUCUUAGUGGAUGUUUUAACAAACGAUGUAUCUUUAUUCUCACAUGAAAUAUAAACCGCCAUGAUACCAUUUCCCUCAAAAAAAGGUAGCGCUUAUUUAUUUUUAAAAUUUCUGUAUAAGCGUAUGGAUAAGUGCUCAUCAUUGUAGAUAGCCUAAUUAACUGAAUUAUUGGACUAACUGCAUCAAGAUCGGAUCACAUCACAUCUAUCCUGUCCCCGUCGGUCGACGACACUCUCCUCCAAUCAAAAUAUUGCCCCAACGCGCGCGCGUGUCGCACGCUGUGAAUGCGACCCGCCAAUGUCACCAACCCCCCUGCCUCCUUUGUUUUGUCAGCUAAUUUACUUCGAGCCCACACUCACGCGCACACCGCGUGUAGUAUAGGAUCGAUCGAUGCAGCUUCUCUUCCCCUCCCUUCCUAUUUAACAAGCUCUUCGCACCUCAGCAAGGGAAGCACCACUACACACGCUAGAAAUGGCGAUGGCCAGGACGACAACGACGCUCCUCCUCGCCGCCGCGGCUCUCCUCGUGGCCUCCUGCGGCGCGUGGGAGGCCAACAUCCGCAUGCCGACCUCGCUGGACCAGGCCGUGGUGGCGCCGCUGAUCCACGCGCUGCGGCCGCUGCUGGGCUCCGGCAAGCACGCCGGAGUGGCGUGCGACAGCUGGGUGCUGGGCGUGGAGGCGCACAACGUGCGGGACUGGAAGACGGUGCCCGCCAGCUGCGAGGGCUACGUCGGCCACUACAUGCUCGGCAGCCACUUCCGCCGCGACUCCAAGGUCGUCGUCGACCAGGCGCUCGCCUACGUCGACUCCCUCAAGCUCGCCGGCAACGGCAAGGAGGUGUGGGUCUUCGACAUCGACGAGACCACCCUCUCCAACCUCCCCUACUACGCCAAGCACGGCUUCGGGUACGUGCACACCAUGCUAAUUAUUGCAGGUGCAUCUGAGCAGGGAUUUUUCGUAGUAAUUGCCCCCUAUACACGGUGAUGGGCAUGUGAUUGCCCGGGUAGGACCGUAUCUGUUGACUGUUGUCCACUUGGCUACUUUAUCGAACGGUUUAUUUUUCAGCCGUCGUUAUCAACUGAUUACUAGUUGCUAUAAUUAUGUUAGAAUAAAAAAUGAGUUUAGACGGAUAAUACUUGUAAUUAUGCAAAUAUCUAACAAAUCGAGGGGUUCCAGUAACUUUGCUUCACCACAAUCAUUCAUGACAAAGCUAACCUUUUUUUUGCGGGGUAGCUAACCUUUUUUGUUGAAAGCCGAAACUCUGCAAUAAGCCUUUCUUUUAGCGGGUAAAACAUGCAUUUCUCAACUCAAAAGAUCAUUACACUCGAUCGCUGCAAUGGUAAACCUAUUUUAUCAAAGGAAUCAAGAAAUAAGCUGAGCUCUCACGAGUCACAAGCAGGGUGAGCGAGGUGCACGAUGAGGUUAAAUAUAUACAAGUUGUGUCGGAGUUGGAUCUCGCGGUAUGAUAUUGACUACUCCCUCUGUAAACUAAUAUAAAAGCGUUUAGUUCACUACUUUAGUAUUCUAAACACUCUUAUAUUAGUUUACGGAGGGAGUAAUUAAUUUAGACCUCCACUUGGCGAACUUCAUUUUUUAUCAUCAAUCACGUUCGUCCACAGAUACGUAGAGCAUUGAGUUUGGGUAAUGCUUAUCCCCUUUGGCCAUUUGGCCACUUGGACCACAAGGUUACAUACUUCGGUUUCCAUAAUUACCUUUUUUUUUUGAAUUGGUAUGCAUAUAGUACUACACUAGCUGAUAUGGUUGAGUCCGCCAUUAAUCUAUCUUCAUAUACACAUACGUGCGCAGAGCUACACCGUUCAACGCGACGAGCUUUGACGCAUAUGUGUUGGAGGGGAGCGCGCCCUCGCUGCCGGAGACGAAGCGGCUGUACAACAAGCUGCUCUCGGUCGGUGUCAAGCCGGUGUUCCUCACCGGCCGGACCGAGGACAAAAGGGCCAUCACCGUCACCAACCUCCUCCGCCAAGGCAUCUCCGGGUGGAUGAACCUGCUGCUGAAGCAGCCCGGCUUCAAGGGCUCCGCGGCGACCUACAAGUCCGGCGAGAGGCAGAAGC
rnacentral:lncRNA from 1 species